rnacentral:rRNA from 1 species
GCCCGCUCAGAAACUCAAAGGAAUUGACGGGGCCCGCACAAGCGGAGGAGCAUGUGGUUUAAUUCGAUGAUACGCGGGGAACCUUACCUGGGCUCGAACGUAAGAUGACUGUAGGUGAAAGCUUACAUCUCUUCGGAGCAUUUUACGAGGUGCUGCAUGGUUGUCGUCAGCUCGUGCCGUGAGGUGUCGGGUUAAGUCCCAUAACGAGCGCAACCCCUACCUUUAGUUGCCAUCAGGUAAUGCUGGGGACUCUAAAGGAACUGCCUACGCAAGUAGUGAGGAAGGCGGGGAUGACGUCAAAUCAGCACGGCCCUUACGUCCAGGGCUACACACGUGCUACAAUGGCCGAUACAGAGGGCAGCUACCUGGUGACAGGAUGCAAAUCUCCAAAGUCGGUCUCAGUUCGGAUCGGAGUCUGCAACCCGACUCCGUGAAGUUGGAUUCGCUAGUAAUCGCGCAUCAGCCAUGGCGCGGUGAAUACGUUCCCGGGCCUU